rnacentral:miRNA from 2 species
UAAAUGCAAAAUAUCUGGUUAUG